CCACGUGUUUGUUGAGUGGAUAAUUACUGAGACUGUGUACUGUGAUGUUCCAUAGUGACUUUUUCACUUUUUCACUCAGUUCAUUUUCACUUGUAAUGAACUGAUUUAUUUUUUUGUGUGUCUGUUUAUGUUCAUGAGUCAGGGGAUCUAUGGAGUGUUGCUGGUUUUCUCUCUGCUCGAGUUCAUCAUUUCUGUCUGCACUUAUGCGUUCGCCUGUAAAGCCUCUAUAACUACACAGAUACAGUACUCACAGACGUUUUUUCCACAAUCAAUUAUACAACAGACUUAGCUUUCUCUGAAACACAACACAGCAAAGUAACACAAAACAAGCAGAAAGCAGCAAGCUCAUCAUUUCACUCUCAGGCCUGUUAAUAGCACGAGACUCUCUGUAAUGGCUCUCCCAAAGAACAGCACAUCUGAAAGGCAAGCCCAAAGCACUGGAGGUAAAAAUACUUGUAACCAAAAAUGUCUUUAUUUUUGCAGCAGUGAUUAACCACCAUUUAAUGUUUUCUCCCAGUUCUUUUUCUCCACAGAUUGUGCAGAUUAUGUUUGGGAUCACGAGUCUCUUGUGCUAUUUCGUUUUUAUCUUUUCUUAACCGUCUGAACCAUCAACAAUAAACUAGUGUGUGUGUGUGCAAAUAAAAUGUGGCACGGCGGCCCAAAAUGUAAAAAAGAAGACACUACUCACUCAUAGUUGCACUCUCCGUGCCUUUCCUUCGUCAAAUUAAAUGGGUUGUUUUGAUUAAGUAAUAAUAACUAAGAAAAAACCCAGGUAACUUACAAAAUUCAUUGAAAGUAUGUUUUUUUUUUUAAAUUUAUUAAAAGUCUGUUUUUAAGCAAAAGCAGAUAACUCCACAUUUCAAAUUUCACAAAACCAAGUAAUUGCUUUGUAAUUGCAUUUAAGUGCAAUAUUUAACAUUAUUUAACUUAAAACAACUAGUCUAGGUAAAGAGCAGUAAAAAUAGACCAUUAAUAAGCAAUAUUAAACAUUCUAGAUGACAGAAAUCAGCAAUCCAGAGUUUAUAACAAGACAUCACAAUGUACACAAUUUGAAUGAUAUCUGUGUAUGACCACACAGUGGCAUCUUGUGUAGUUUUAUCGGUGGCUGAAUAAAACAAUCAGUUAGUCUUUGUACUCUCCUCAGCUGACCAUGCAGAUGCCUGACAAACUUUGUUGUUGUGAUUACACGCAAUAUAGGGAGCUUUUCCCUCACCACUGUAACGUGCUGCUUUAGCAAUGUUCCGUGAAAAAGUUUCAGCUUUUAUUUUCCUUUUACGCCAUGAAGAAGAUACCACAGGUUCAUCAAGUCAGUCAAAAUUAUCCAUACUUCAUCAUUUAGUCCGGUUCGACGAAACUCCUCUCAGCAAGCGUGUCUUUCCGAAGUCACCAGCAGCCUGGUCAGCUGACCUGGAUACUGCAUGCUGAUUCGCUAAAAUGGACAUAGUAUCGGUUUUUGCUCCCAAACAACAAGGACGCUUUGUUGGCUUCUGCAGUAAAACGUGAACUCGUGAUGCCUUGAAAGUGGACAAUACCGCCUUUUUUGAUAAAACGUGUUUAGGGUUCAGACAGUGCGAUAUGUGGAUAUAUAUAAACUCUUCAGCUUGUUCGCUUGUUUUAAUUAAAAGAUCCCCCUCCGUGGGCCCCAAUCCCCCCGGGCCCAUAUGCACGUGCAUACCCUGUAUACCCAGACGCUAUGCCACUGACCCAAACUCCUCCUCUCUGGUAUGGAAACACGACGUGUUCUCUUCAUUUCUUUAUAUUUAUCAGUUAUUUUUUAUUCAUGAAGGAAACGUCCUGGAUUUAACAUGAUUGUUUCCUCUCUGAUUAGUUGAAAGCCUCGCUGAUAAUGAAUGUCUUGAGUUCUCUGGGUGCAGCCAUCAUCAUCAUCAUGUUCUCAAUCAUCUUGUUUGGAUGUCCACAUGUGUUUUUAUGAUGGUUAUCAUUGUCUUGUCAGCUCAGCGGUUUGUAUCUUAUUAAUGUAUCUCAUCUUAUCAGUCUUCUUCCUCAUGGCUGUAAUUCCCACUCAUCGCUCCCAAAAUUACAUGACGGAUUUUGUUCUCAGCUACAUUUUUUUUGUGUUGAGAAUUUGUGUUUGUUUGUUUACCUAUUAACUUAAUUAUUUAUUCAUUUAUUCACUUGUCUACUGUCAUGGAUGGCUUAGUUAAUUCUCUGCUGGAACACCAGAGGGAAUUCCAGCAGGGGUUUGUUUAUGCCCUAUGCCAUGUGUCUUUGUUUAUGUUUUGUGUUCUCAUGUGUUUGCCCCGCCCAGUCCUUAUCCUGUUCCCGCCUCUGCACACCUGUCCCACUUGUUUCACUAAUUACCUCCCCAAUUUAUACCGGUUGUCUUGUGUGUGUUGUUUGCCCAGUCCUUGUCAUGUGCUGGAUUGUUACCCGGUGUUCACUCUUUUAUGUCACUGGUUUUUGUGUCUUGUUUUAUAUUUUAGUCCCUAGUUCUGCCGUAAUGUUUUCCGGUGUCUGUUCAUUUUGUUAUUUUUAAAUAAACCUCUGCACUUGGGGAUGAUUUUUCCCACACCUGGCACCCCGUGUCUUUACAGUUUACCAACUGACUAAAUACAGAUCUUCCUAUUUACUUAAAUCCUGCCUACGAACUUCCAAUCCAUAGAUUCCAACCAAAUAACUAACUAAUUUACUUACUUACUAACCUUACGUUUGAAUUGUUUUACUAAACUAACUUACUCCAGUUAACUACAUGCUUACCUUCUAUCAUACAGCUGGUCCAAAAGUCAGAGACCAUAUUUAUUUUAUUUUAAGUUAAAAUUGGAAAUAAAUAGAAGAUUUGGGAAUUUCAAAAUAUUAUAAACUAUGAAAUGAAGUCUUUAACCAUUCUGAACCAUUUCUACCUCCCGAUUUAAAUGUCAUCAAACUCGUGGUACUGGUCAUGUUAACUCUUCUGCUAACCUCUUCUGAUCAUGUCUAAUCUCUUCUAUUAAAGAGUGUGAUCAGAUGGAACAAUUUGAUCCCAAGCAUUUAAAAGAUUCUACUUUUCACUCCUGAUGUUGAUCAUUUGUAUUUGCAUUAAAUUAGAAAAGAUUGUGAAGCAAAACAUAUUUUCACUAGUGCUCUCAGACUUUCAGACUCCUCUAUAAGGAACACUGCUAUUUCUUUGCUAUUUUAUUUUAUUACUGCUUAUUUAUUAAUUGUUUGUUUGUUCAGGUAUUGUAUAGCUAUAACAGAUAUAACUGUUUACUGAUUUUGUUAGGUAUUUUUGGGCCAGUAGCAGGGAAUCUAUGGAGUCUUGCUGGUUUGCGCUCUGCUCGAGUUCAUAAUUUCUAUCUGUACUUAUGUGUUUGCCUGUAAAACCACCUGCUGCUCUGCAACUACAGUACAGUGAGUGGAUUUCCAACCUAUUUAAAUCUAUUUUUCUUUUUUGUCAGCUGAUGAAAUCGACAGCCGAUGUACAAUCCUGAGUACUACAACCCACAGAUGCCAAAUCAAGCUGUAAUUCCCUACAACAUUUGAAUUUUAAUCAUGGUUUAUUUUGCACUCAAAUCCUACUUCUUGCUGUCUCUGUACUGUUUAAGCUUCACGUUGAACAUCAUGUCUAUCACAGAUACCUCUAAAGUGAUACAUCUGAAAAAAAAGCUUGCUGAGGUACAAAAGUAAUCCAGACAUCAUCUCUUUAACUAUGAUUUCAUUUCUUAUCUGUCCGAUUCUGUGAGUGUGUGUGACUGUAACCUGGAUGAUUUACAGUAAACUUUCCUCAUGCAAUAACACAAUCACAUAUCUGUGAGUUUCUUCUCUUUCUACAACACUAUCACUGACCUUUUCAGAAAUCUUCAGACACGACGCUCAUCUACAGCACAACGCUGCAGAAUUCUGGAUUCUGAUUGGUCAGAAGCACCACUGUAUUGUGUUCUGAUCUACAUUAAAACGUUCCUGCUGAACACUACUUCCGAGUCCCCUGGUCUGCUUCAGUGAAUUCACAACAGAUGGUGCCGUGAUCUUCUUCAACUCAGCGAUGAUUUGGUAGGCAUGCACAGUUUCCUGAACUCAUCACUGCAGCACCCGCUAGCUGAACCAUCUACAUCUAUAGAGAACCACCUGGAAAACUUACUGCUGCCUGAACUAAUGGAAGAUACAGCACAACAGAGCAGCACUGGAUUAUAUUUUUUUGGAAGUUUUUUUGGCCCAUCAUGGUCAAAGUUUAGUGAAAUAGUUGUUUUAGUCAGUUUCAUUAUAUUAAUAUACAUAACAGACUACUAAUCUUCAGCACAAAGGCAUGGCAAUAGCUCAGGUCAAGAACUACACCCCUUAAAUUCUAAGACAUAUUAUGAGAGUGUAAACUAAUAAAAAGCUGAUCAACUGCUAAGUUUACAAGUUGUGAGAGUUAUUUAGAACUCUCAAAGGGGGGAUUGUAGGAAAACAUAUUUUGAGGUCAGUCUUGAAUCUACUGUAACAUACAUUUCUCUUUGAAUAAUCAUUUACAUAUUCCAGCUCUCACCACCAAAUGGUGAUCAGGAACUGUGAACCAGCUCACAGUUGGGGGUCGACUCAGGAUUUCAAUGUUUUGUUUAAGAGUAUCACCUCAAGGCUUUUGUAUUGUCACACCUUCAAGGCCUGGCUAUUCAAGGCCUUUAAAACUAUAACGCAUGUUCCUUUUCACUGUACUUGACUGCAGUA